GUGAAUCAUCGAAUCUUUGAACGCAAAUUGCACUCUCCUCGGAGAGUAUGCCUGUUUGAGGGUCAGCCUAAAAAAAAUCGACAUCGUUCCUUUUCCGCGUUGACGUUGGUCGGAAAUUGGGUUACUUUAAACCUUUUGUUUUAGGCAACUUAAAAUUUUCCUUUUGAUUCCAGGAACGUUCCUAGGUUUUAUUCUUUUCACCGUUGAGGUAUUCGAUUUUUAUUAGCCU
rnacentral:misc_RNA from 1 species